GUUUGUUUAAAACACUAUUUAAGUCGGAGUUAAUUAAAAAGAAAACAUAGACGUUAAUUAAAGCUAACCUAAGGUUAGAUUAAUUAACCUAGAUAUAAAACCUAGCUUUUCCCUUCUCCACUAUGUUUUUCCCGAUUCUUCUCCUCUUCAAACGACCUCUUCCUUCUUCCCGAUCCAGCCGGUGCCCUUCCUCACGAUCUCGUUGGCGCCAACCCAUCGCCGGCCGAGCCUCCCUCCUCCCUCUUCCUCUCUAGGCAUGGAGUCUUUCCCCUCUUUCUCACGAUUUUCUCUCGCCCGAUCGCCGGCAGCUCGCGAGAUCACUGUCGACGGAGGCCUUCGCCUCACCUGGCUACUGAACUACCUCGCUUCAAGUCGCUUCUUCCUCCUCAGUGCCGAUCCACCGCCACUCCUGCUGUUGUCAUCGUCUCUGCUGUGGUCGACCUCGCCUAGUGCCGACGCCAUCGCCAAAUGAUACUGGUGUAUGCGAUCUCCAGCGGUAGCGGCCACAGAUCGAUUCCAUCGCCUUACGGAGAUAUAACGCUACCCUAGCCUGGAUCAACGCUGCAUUGCCCUCUUCCUCACUCAAUUGCUUGGUCGUCGGAUGACCUAGUAAUGGAGAGGGUUCUGUCGGUAAUGUAUUGAGGUGAGUUUCUGCCAGCGCUAUUUGUCGACGAUUCACAUUUCAGUCCAUCAUUUCUGGAAGCUAUUUUCUUCAGCCAUGAGCCCACAAAGGAGGCUACGAAUUUGGAUUUUUGGAUUUGGAGAGAUUUAUAGCUUCAGCUAGCACUUCCGGCUAUCCUGUUCUGGCAAUGAACUUCUCCGGCAGUGAGUUGACGAAGGAGAAAUCCAAUUUGGGUAACUUGUGCUAAGGACGUUGAUUCGAGACAAGCAUCUCGACCUGGGAUUUGUUUCGACACGAACUACUGAUUAAGGCGGGUACUUCUUGCUUUAUCUCUUUAGUAUUUUGACCCUAGUGCAUCAGCUUUAUAUUCAAAUAGAUACUCUGUUUAUCUUGACUCCACUCUUAUUUUUCUUGCGUUUGAUACUUCCACUCAAUCUUUGAGCUACUCGUUUCUAUGUCGAUACAAUCUCUCGUUGCUAUCUAUAUGAUAUUUAGUAUAUAUCAGACACCAGUUAUAGAUAUUAGAUACUGGUAUUAGAUAUUGGAUAUGGACACCUGAUACCGUGUUUACUUGCUUUGACUGCUAUUGAUUCAUGUUUCUUAUUGAGCAUGCUGGCUUCAUGUAGCAUACUUGAUUUCGGUUUAUAUAUAUAUAAUGGCUGCUGCAUUUUACGUAUCAUGUCAUUGAAUGCAUGCCGGCAACCAUAUCUUCCUUGUGCUUAAGAGGGUCGUUGGCCAGGCCCACACGCUCAGCCACUCAUGGGUAGUGGCGGCUGGAGCAUGUCGCUUGUCCUGUCAUGCCGCACUCGACCACUCAUGGGUAGUGGCAGCUGGGGUUGUGAGCAGCAGGGACCCCAUUGCUAUGUAGCUAGAUAGCUACUAUGCAAACUGUCCACUCGGUCACUUGAGAGUAGUGAUGACUGGAGUGUCGUACAGUUGUCAUUGAUCCGGUCUCUCGACCAUACAGGGGUCAUGGUGCAGAGAGGUGGGCGAGGUGACCAUCUGUGCAUACGCUGUUGUUAUUAUACUUAUGUUGUUAUUACUAGUUUAUGUUGUUGUUGCUUACCUGUGCUGAUAUGCUUACAUAUGUUGAGAUAUACAUCUGUUGUAUGUGUUUAGACACUGUUUUACUUAUUGGUAUUAUGUAUAUACCUCACAUGCUAUCCCUGUAGUUAUGAGCAGCAUUAUAGCAAAUCUUUGCUACUCUUGACCUUCUAGUACUAGCGUAGGAUAUGGUUUCAGGUAUGAACAUUUGCUAUAUCACUUUAGUACCUGCUAUAUUUCCUAUGAGACUGUAUGCCUUUGUAUCUCUAGUUCUUUACUAUACUCAUGCACUAUCUGUCUAUUACCCGCUUAGUCUUUAUACUCAUCAUCCCGUAAAUUGGUUAUUUCGCCAGGUAGCAGGUAAAGGAUUUAUGGAGUUGCCUGGAGGUCUUGUCCGCCAGUCCCAUGUCACAUUCGAGGACGAUCUUAUGAUUUUGGUAUUCCUUACGCUGUUUGUAUUUGGUUUUGUACUUGUUCCUAUACUUGUGUAUUCUGUUAUUUGGAGUAUCGUUGGUGGUAUCUUGUAUUUGGUUUGUUAAUAGUGUGGCAAGCCGAGCCGGCUCGCAGUUAGUUGUACUGUGGUUUUGUGUAUGUUAUUUGUGAUUUACGUUGUGUUAUGUUUCAGCCGUGUGGGCUGUUAUUAAAACUAUGUGGUUGUAUAAUUUAUCCAGCCGUGUGAGCUGUUAUAUACUACUAAUGAGUAUA